UACAGAGGGUGCGAGCGUUAAUCGGAAUUACUGGGCGUAAAGGGCGCGUAGGCGGUGAUAUGAGUGUGAUGUGAAAGCCCUGGGCUUAACCUAGGAAGAGCAUCGCAAACGAUAUGACUGGAGUAGAGGAGAGGGUGGUGGAAUUUCCGGUGUAGCAGUGAAAUGCGUAGAGAUCGGAAGGAACGUCGAUGGCGAAGGCAGCCACCUGGCCUCAUACUGACGCUGAGGCGCGAAAGCGUGGGGAGCGAAC
rnacentral:rRNA from 1 species